GGGGCCGUAGCUCAGCUGGGAGAGCGCAUGACUGGCAGUCAUGAGGUCAGGGGUUCGAUCCCCCUCGGCUCCACCA
rnacentral:tRNA from 5 species